ACCCACUCCAGCACCUAGAGGAGAGCAGGUAAACCAAAGGAAGGGAGGAAGGGAGGAAGGGAAUGGCAUGACCAUGCUUGGCUGCCUUCCUCCCAGCGCGUGAGGAUUUGGACCAAUUCUUCUUACCCUAAACUCAGCCUCUGAGUUUCAGAGUAACCCUGACUUGCAGAGUUCCAGACAUGGAACCAGGUAGCUGGUAAUGAGAGCUAAGAGGAGAAAGGAUGGGGGAUGGUGAAGCUGGGUGUGAUGAGAAGCACACUGGACUUCAAAUGAGACCAUUUUUAUUGAAAUUUCAGCUGUGCCUUUUACAUGCUUUGUGACCAUGGGCAAGUUACUUACCUGACCUCACUGAGGAUUCUUUCCUCAAUUAUAAAAUAAAGCAGAAAUGCCAUCUGUUUGUGAGAAAA